rnacentral:ribozyme from 14 species
GAAGAAAAAAGGUUCAGAUAGGCUAUUGCUACCUCUGCUCAUGUCAUUUGUAUUUUUCUUUCUUUCCAUUUUUUUCUUUUCUUUUCUUUUCUGUUGUUCUUUUUCUAA